AACGAACGCUGGCGGCAUGCCUAACACAUGCAAGUCGAACGGACCCUUCGGGGUUAGUGGCGGACGGGUGAGUAACACGUGGGAACGUGCCUUUAGGUUCGGAAUAGCUCCUGGAAACGGGUGGUAAUGCCGAAUGUGCCCUUCGGGGGAAAGAUUUAUCGCCUUUAGAGCGGCCCGCGUCUGAUUAGCUAGUUGGUGAG
rnacentral:rRNA from 1 species